UGGCUGGACAGGUCCAUUGGGAAAUCCACCUGCUUAACAGGUGGGCGUCCAGUGGAAACCGUUCAGCUUGGGACCGGGAGACUCGAGGGGUACGUCCGGGGUAGGAGUGAAAUCCCGUAAUCCUGGACGGACCAUCGGUGGCGAAAGCGCCUCGAGAGAACGGAUCCGACAGUGAGGGACGAAAGCUGGGGUCUCGAACCGGAUUAGAUACCCGGGUAGUCCCAGCCGUAAACGAUGCUCGCUAGGUGUGGCGCAGGCUACGAGCCUGCGUUGUGCCGUAGGGAAGCCGUGAAGCGAGCCGCCUGGGAA
rnacentral:rRNA from 1 species